GCAUUAAUGGGGUAGAAUUAUUGGUAACCUGGGUCGUUGCCAUCGACCCGCCCGGGGUUCGAUUCCCCCGUAAUGCA